AAGCAGCUUGCUGCUUUGCUGACGAGUGGCGGACGGGUGAGUAAUGUCUGGGAAACUGCCUGAUGGAGGGGGAUAACUACUGGAAACGGUAGCUAAUACCGCAUAACGUCGCAAGACCAAAGAGGGGGACCUUCGGGCCUCUUGCCAUCGGAUGUGCCCAGAUGGGAUUAGCUUGUUGGUGGGGUAACGGCUCACCAAGGCGACGAUCCCUAGCUGGUCUGAGAGGAUGACCAG
rnacentral:rRNA from 1 species